UCUCCACAAAACACAAAGGACACACAACUGCUUGCCAUUGUCAUCGUUUCUUCUAGAAUAAGAGAUAUGGAUCCCUCCCAAAGUGUGACUUAACACACCUAUGGCAUCAUGUGCGACAUCACAGCCACUGCUGGAGGCUAAUCUCCAACCACUGGGAUCUGAUUUCCAGCAGUAUUGACAGUUCAAGAAUCAAUCUGUGCCAGCUUCCUCUACUGAACCUGAUGCCGCUCUCAUACUACGCCUGUGACUCUGAGCUGUACGACUCAGUUUCCCUGUGCUGUGUGCCUGCUUCUGAGAGGCUGAUCCGUUCAACAGCGGGCGAUGUGGAGGUUAAAGCUGUCUGAACAUGUGCAGCCAUACUGCAGUGAUAAUCCGGACAAUUUAAACAUUUCUUACAAGCAGAAGUGAAACCAUUAAUCCUGUGAGAUUCUUCCGAUAAGUGGUGACUGUGAAGUAAUGGCCAUGUCGCCUAGAAAAAUAAAAAUAUGUGGACAAUUAAAACAAGAUGGACAUUAUCUGGCAAGUCCGUACUCCCCUUUUCUUUAGCAGUAUUGUAAUUGAUCCGUCCCUUUGUUACUAAACUGAAUAUUGAGUCCUGGCUUUUUGUUCAUUAUCUGUGGAUUUUAACAUGGUGCAUAUUUGUCAAGUUUGAAAAUCAUGUAAAAAAGGAAACCAGUGAUUAUUUUCUUCACAUAUACAAAUGCUGUUCUGAAGAAAAGUCAAUUCUCAUGACACCUGCUAAAGUUUKUGGCUAUAAUGUGUUGACCUUUCCAGGCAUCCUGUUGUUGAGUUAUUUGAAAGUACUUUGACAAGCUGCUGUAUAUGACAGGAGUAUAUUGUAUCUGGAAUUAAGUCCAUUCACAUUUGAUUGUCCUUAAAAACUCUGUCAAACUUUUGCUCUGGGAGUUUGCUUUGCCCUAGAAAAGCAAUGUGACGUGUUUGGGCCGGGGGGUAAUAAUCUGGUUCCCUGACCGUAGUGAACACCCUAAUUUCUGUGGCUUGGCAAAGAGAUUAGUGUGUUGAAUUAUGGUAAUUAGAGAUUGAAUUAUAAAAGUUUGUCAUUUUCACUCUCAAUUGUGUGAGCAAAAAGUGUAUGGAAUCAUAUAUAAACUUUUAAGUUGAUAUUUUUAAUUGCAAAGCACAUUAUAUUAAUUUCCUCCUACAUAUAACAAAAGGUGAAGUGGCAUCACAAUUCUAGUUGAAAUAUGUAGUCCUUCAAAACAUUUGAUAUUAUUUCACUCUGCUAUGUUGACUUUAACAUUAUAUGUGCCUCUGUUACUAACUGUAAUCAGUUGUUGAUAUUGCUGUCCCUGAGUGUUUCAUGUCAUUGACAGUCAGAUAAUUAGGUAUCAUCAAUGCUUCAAUAACAAUAUAAAAAGCCAUUAUAAUGGAUGGUUUUAAUUAAUGCCAUAUUUGAUUAUUAGCUCAUUUAAAUGUUUAUAUUAUGGCACAUAUGCUAAUGUAUGAUAGAAAGAGCAGAAAUUAAUU